UCCCUCAUAGCUCAGUUGGUAAAUCAUCUGCCUGCGAUGUAGGAGACCCAGGUUCAAUUCCUGGGUUGGGAA
rnacentral:tRNA from 1 species